rnacentral:rRNA from 1 species
GAUGAACGCUGGCGGCGUGCCUAAUACAUGCAAGUCGAGCGAAUGGAUUAAGAGCUUGCUCUUAUGAAGUUAGCGGCGGACGGGUGAGUAACACGUGGGUAACCUGCCCAUAAGACUGGGAUAACUCCGGGAAACCGGGGCUAAUACCGGAUAAUAUUUUGAACUGCAUGGUUCAAAAUUGAAAGGCGGCUUCGGCUGUCACUUAUGGAUGGACCCGCGUCGCAUUAGCUAGUUGGUGAGGUAACGGCUCACCAAGGCAACGAUGCGUAGCCGACCUGAGAGGGUGAUCGGCCAAACUGGGACUGGGACACGGCCCAGACUCCUACGGGAGGCAGCAGUAGGGAAUCUUCCGCAAUGGACGAAAGUCUGACGGAGCAACGCCGCGUGAGUGAUGAAGGCUUUCGGGUCGUAAAACUCUGUUGUUAGGGAAGAACAAGUGCUAGUUGAAUAAGCUGGCACCUUGACGGUACCUAACCAGAAAGCCACGGCUAACUACGUGCCAGCCGCCGCAGUAA